rnacentral:lncRNA from 1 species
UAUGAAAAUGACUUGAAUUUUAAUAUUAACUCUACUUCUCUCUUUUUGCAGACAGCAACUAGCUUCAAGAAGUUCAUAGAUAACGGAAUAUUCAGACUGGUGUUUGGCUCAAAACUGUGUGUUACGACCGUGCUCCCCGUUACCCCACAGCCCUGACCUUCAUCCUGUCUCCUCUCUCUUCAGUGUGUGUUACGACCGUGCUCCCCGUUACCCCACAUCCCCGACCUCUCACCCUGUCCCUCUCUCUUCAGUGUGUGUUACGACCGUGCUCCCCGUUACCCCAAGCCCGACCUCAUCCUGUCUCCUCUCUCUUCAGUGUGUGUUACGACCGUGCU